ACACGGACCAAGGAGUGCAACAUGCGUGCGAGUCUUUGGGUGUCAAACCCUGUGGCACAAUGAAAGUGAAGGCAGGCAUUGGUCUGCUUAGGCGAGAGUCUCUUUGGAGACACAUCGUCGACCGAUCCCAGGUCACGCUGUGGCGGGAUUUGAGUGAGAGCGUGCCUGUUGCGACCCGAAAGAUGGUGAACUAUGCCUGAAUAGGGUGAAGCCAGAGGAAACUCUGGUGGAAGCUCGUAGCGAUUCUGACGUGCAAAUCGAUCGUCAAAUUUGGGUAUAGGGGCGAAAGACUAAUCGAACCAUCUAGUAGCUGGUUCCCUCCGAAGUUUCCCUCAGGAUAGCUGGAGCCCGGUGCAGUUUUAUCAGGUAAAGCGAAUGAUUAGAGGUCUUGGGGUUGAAACAACCUCAACCUAUUCUCAAACUUUAAAUGGGUAAGAGGCUUGGCUUGCUUAAUUGAAGUCAGGCAUUGAAUGCCGGGGCUCUUAGUGGGCCAUUUUUGGUAAGCAGAACUGGCGAUGUGGGAUGAACCAAAUGCUGGGUUAAGGUGCCUGAAUCAACGCUCAUCAGAUACCAUAAAAGGUGUUGGUUGAUCUAGACAGCAGGACGGUGGCCAUGGAAGUCGGAAUCCGCUAAGGAGUGUGUAACAACU
rnacentral:rRNA from 1 species